UACGUAGGGGGCAAGCGUUAUCCGGAAUUACUGGGUGUAAAGGGAGCGUAGACGGUAAUGUAAGUCUGGAGUGAAAGGCGGGGGCCCAACCCCCGGACUGCUCUGGAAACUAUGUUACUAGAGUGCAGGAGAGGUAAGCGGAAUUCCUAGUGUAGCGGUGAGAUGCGUAGAUAUUAGGAGGAACACCAGUGGCGAAGGCGGCCUACUGGACGGUGACUGACGCUGAGGCUCGAAAGCGUGGGGAGCAAACAGG
rnacentral:rRNA from 1 species